ACACCCCACCCACCCACCCCAACCCGUCUCAGAUAGUUGGUAAUCUCGAGUUGGUAAUUGCUUAGUAAAAUAAUUACUUUUGGUGAAACUCGUCAUCAUACUCCCUCUGGCUACGAAUUUGCAUUCCUUGUUGGGAUGUGUAGUCUGAAACUAUUGUUUGGUAGUAUUUGUAGUUCAUAGUAAAACAAUUAUACUCGGAGGAGAUGUGACUCAGACAGUAAUUGCUUGGUUCUGGUCAUUCAAAUACGUCAAGAGCUACAGGUUUGUUUCAAGAGUUUUGAACCUAAGGAUAUCUGACUCAAGACUGAAAUUGUUGAUAUUACUUAUUGUUAUUGUAAUUGUGGAGCCUAUAAGUGUGAUGCCCAUGAGUUUUAAUAAAUACUUUCCAAGGAAUUUAUAACAAAUGCAAUCUUAAAGCUUUGGGUGCUGUUCAAUUUCAGAAAUCGGUUUCCUAUGAAUGAACUUGUUAGCAGUAUUGCGAUUAUUGGCCAAUAAUGGUUGGUUCUUUGUUUAAGGUUUUUGUAAGUUUAUGGUCUCAUGGGGACAAGUAAUAUUCUAUGCUCACUAUUUCGAGUUUCCUUUUCACUGAAAGCUGCAAGUCAAGUUCUUACCAGCAGUGGUAUCGAUGUUAAUUACUUUUAAGUUCUAGGAGCUCACCAAAUGUUGUUUUCUAAGUCCGAGGCUGCAAUUGAUCAAAAAUAUUUGUCAGGUUUAUUUUUUUCAGUGCCUCCAUAUAGCAGGAAAAUUAUUAUUCGGUUUUCAAUGGAACCGUUUCUUAGGGUAAGAUUUUUCUCUGUAGUUUUAUGUAGUCCUGUAAAUGUAAUUCUCAUGUAAAGUCUGUUGAGUUAACCGUUUAAGAUAGGUCUAACACAUGUGGCUUUCGUAAGCAUUACUAUCUUAAUCCUUUAGGAUGCAACUUUUGAUGAAUGGCCUUCUUUCAUGGAUUAGUUGAUAGGCAUUACUAUCACUAACACAUGUGGCUUAUGUAUGCAUUACUAUCUUAAAUCUUUAGAACUAUCCUUUACAGUCCAGGCUGAAGCUAGAUUCAAUUCUUUGGCUUAGAAUCAAACUUUCUUUACACCAAAAGCUCAUAACUGCUGUGUGUCAGAUAAAACUUGAUGAGACUUGCUUGUGAAACCUGAUUAUGUACAUCAAGCGUGAACUAUAUUUACACGUUAAGGAAGUUUUGUGCAUUUAGCAGAGAGGCAGGUCAUGAGCAAGGAAAAGUCCACACUGAACAAGCUCCAGUGGAACUUUACAGUUCUGACGGUGUAUAUGUUCAUCAUUUUUAGAAAAUCAGGGACCCUUCCCCGGCUCCAUUUUAUUGAAAAUGAAACCAACCGACAGAGUUCAGUGCCAAAUUUAUAUGUUCAUCAUUCGAUGCAUGAAAGCUGCAAUGGGUGACAAGGAGCUGGAGAACAUGGCAUUCUUCUAUGAUGUGCUUACGCUGGUUCAGUACUCGACGUGAGUCCAUCGUGGAGUGAUACCAUGAAGCACCGCACGGGCUUAGCUGAGUUAGAAUUGUUGUACAUAUUCUUCCUCUUUUUUUGCGCAAAUGUACAUAUUCUUCCUGACUUAUUAAUCUUGCUUAGUGAGAGACCUGAUUAUUUGCAUCUGAGCUGAACCACACUCUAAAUUAUGAUGCUCACAUGCUACUUUGAUCAUGUCAUCUAAUUUCUGAAAUCUUGUUAUUUACAUCAAACCCGAAUCAAUCUUUAUAUUGUGUUUAUCACAUGCUAUGGUGAUCAGAUUAUUGCUUCCUACUUAAUGUGCAGGAUAAUUGAACACGGUAAGGCAGUCAAAGUGAAACCCUUUAUUUUAUUACUUCCGUCGAAAUACCUUAUAUUCUGUAAUAUCACUUACAUUCUGCUAAAAAUCUUUUUAAGUUUAUGCUUUUACAUAGCAUAGAAAUGAGAAUUUUGUUUCUGAAGUCCACAUGUCAGUGUACAUUAUUUGGCAUAUAUUCUCAUACUGACUUUUCUUAUGUUGAUGUAAAUGUUACAUGUGCAUUCAAAUUUUCUUGCAAGACAAACUGUUUAAACUUCUUGACAAUUCUGGAAAUAUAUGUAUAUGUCAUCAAAGGGUUUGUAAUCAAGCGAAAUCAAAUAGUAGCAGUAUUUGUGCAAGCACUCACUAACCACCACCAGUUCUGCUAUUUUGGUUAUCAUUAACUUUGUAUGCGGGAAAAUUUGAUUUUUCGAUUUGUCACUAAUUUCGUUCAUUAUUGUAUUAAAUUUAGCUUUUCCACUCGAAUAAAAUUGAAGAAUAUAGCCACUUCAAUGUUUCUCCAUAACAGUUUUUAUCUGGCAUCUCAAGUCUAUGGUAAAAAUAUAUGUCACUCUUUGCGAGAGUUCUCUGUUCUGGAAUACUUCCAUACAAUUACCUUUUACUUGUUCUGGAAUACUUCCAUGCAAUUACCUUUUACUUAUCUUCUUUAGCCUCAAGUAGGGUGCUAGCACAUCGUUACAGAAAGUGUCAAAGAACCACAUGGUUGCUAGAAUGCAUUUUUUCUUUUGCCUAAACCGUUUGCUAGGGGUAUUUGUUUGUUAAUUUAGACUGUCAUGAAUUUUUUUUAUUCCCUGGUUUGUAGCUAACAUCAUCUCAGCAAUAGGACAAUUCGGGAGCGCCUUUGUGAUAACAUAACCGUUUCAUUGUGUGCCACCAGGACAGAGGAGGGCGACUAAAAAUCGCCAAUGGCAUGGAGCUGCUUGCAGGACCUGCUUGUUGUGCUCUGAUGGCUGAACAGAGUUCGGUUCUGUUUUUUUUCUUCACCAUGUCUGGAAUAGAGACACAAGGUGUUGAUGGGUUGUGCACCGAGGGUUGGUAUUGAUUAUUGAAGCAUCUGUUGACGAACUGGGAGUCUGUUCUCAAACCAAUAUGAGCUGUUUUUGACCGGAAAAUCAAUAUGACCUUGUGCUGGGAGUCUAUUCAUUUUACAUUUUAUAUCUCUUUGAACUAUUUGACCGGAAAAUCAAUAUGAACUUUGUGUGGCGAAAGAUACGCACUGAAAUUUUA